GAGGUCACGGAGAGGUCGCGACUGCGCUCACCCGUGAGCCAGUGGGCAAGCGGAGGCGGGCUUUUGAGAUCCUGCCGGAUGGUGGAUGCUGGGAUCCACUCCUCUUGCAGCUGCCCGAGGUGCUCUCCCUCCCGACUCUGCCAUCCUCCACACCCACCCUUUUCCUGGUUUGAGUUCAAACCUUAGCAACUAGUUCCGGCAGCUAACAACACCUGCUCACUCAAAAACCUGGCGCACCGUCAAGGGACCGGCACAGAAUCUACUAGUUUGACGCCACGCCUUCCAGAGAAGCCAAGAUGCUGGAGAGAAAGAGAGAGAACACGGCUCAGAGCACUGGCCCCUGGCCACGUGGCCGCCACAGAAGCUCACAUUUGCAUCAGCUUCUUCGGGCCCCCAACCCCGGACCCAGGCCGCAGAGUGCACAGAAAACAGGUGGCAUGCGUGCGCGGCCUCUGGCGGAUGCGCUGAACGCCCACCCCAGAUGCAGCGACCCCCUCCUGGCAGGUUUCUUGGCACCUUCCAGCCCUUCCUGAGCCAGAGGCUCACAGGAGCUGGCUUCCUGGGGCGAGAUGCAGCCCCUUCUUUACAACCAUCCAGGAUCCGUCACUCACCCCCACAGGAACUGGGCGCUGCGUUUUCUAGGUCAUGAAAGCCUCUGCCUACACCUCCCUGCCCACAGCUCCUGCGAGGUCACAGAGACACCAGGCCCAGGAGAGACCCAGAUCAUGGAGGCCUCCAGGAGGAAAAUCGUCAUCCCCAGCCACUGAGCAGCAAAUAGAAGAUUCUGGAACCCUCUGGAACACAGGUCUCCAGGUCUAACCACUUACUGGUCCCAACCUGGACCAGUCAAAUGAUGCCCUGUUUUCACAAAGGUCUCCUCACACCUGGAACAGUUUGACUUUAAAAAGAAAUUUUGUUGUUGUUGUGUUGAAAUGGCUACUGAAUGUUAGCUUUCAAAUUUCAAAUCACUGGAACUUUCUGAGCAUGAAGUUGUUGACCAAAAAAAUACAAAAAUACAUGUAGCCUAAAAG